rnacentral:tRNA from 1 species
GCCUGCGUGGCUCAGUGGUUGGGCAUCUGCCUUCAGCUCAGGGCGUGAUCACAGGGUCCUGGGAUCAAGUCCCACCUCAGGCU